rnacentral:rRNA from 1 species
CCCGCUGAACUUAAGCAUAUCAUUAAGCGGAGGAAAAGAGACUAACUAGGAUUCCCUUAGUAGCGGCGAGCGAAGUGGGAAUAGCUCAAACCUUAAUCGCCAGCAGUCUCUGCUGUGCGAGUUGUGGUCUCGAGAAGCAAACUCAGCGGAGGGCUCGGUCUAAGUCUGUUGGAAUACAGCUGUCAUAGAGGGUGAGAACCCCGUUUGGGACUGGGAUACCGCCGCGUACGAGCUGCUUUCGAAGAGUCGGGUUGCUUGGGAGUGCAGCCUUAAUCGGGUGGUAAAUUCCAUCUAAAGCUAAAUAUGAGUGGUAGACCGAUAGCGCACAAGUACCGUGAGGGAAAGGUGAAAAGGACUUUGAAAAGAGAGUCAAAAGUACUUGAAAUUGCUAAAAGAUGAAGGGAUGGGCACCAUUGUAUCGAAGCAGGAAUCCAAAGCCAAGGACCGAGGGAUUUUGGGAUCACGGUGGCAAUGGAAACAUUGGCCUGGUUCCACACUGAUCUCGUCGCCGAGGUUGAAUAUUCCUGCGGGCGGUCAGAAUGAGUUCGAGUUAGGCGUGACGAGGUAGUCUGAGAAGGUAGAGUUGUGAUCGGUUUACCGUGAUCCUCGAAUGCUCUAGUUACCGCAAGCGUCGCUUGGACUGAGGAAUGAUUCUGACAAAAUGGUUCUUAUUCACCCGUCUUGAAACACGG